AUCUUCAGACCAAAAUAUCCCAAGGCACUGGAUCCCAUCUGAUCUUGGAAGUUUAAGCAAGGACAGUCCUGGUGUGUAUUUGGAUAUGACACAGCUAACGAAGUCCAGGUGCUGUAGGAU
rnacentral:rRNA from 11 species